rnacentral:rRNA from 1 species
CGCGGCCUAUCAGCUUGUUGGCGAGGUAACGGCUCACCAAGGCAACGACGGGUAGCUGGUCUGAGAGGACGAUCAGCCACACUGGGACUGAGACACGGCCCAGACUCCUAUGGGAGGCAGCAGUGGGGAAUCUUGCACAAUGGGUGAAAGCCUGAUGCAGCAACGCCGCGUGGGGGAUGAAGGCUCUCGGGUUGUAAACCCCUUUCAGCAGGGACGAAUCUGACGGUACCUGCAGAAGAAGCCCCGGCCAACUACGUGCCAGCAGCCGCGGUAACACGUAGGGGGCAAGCGUUGUCCGGAUUUAUUGGGCGUAAAGAGCUCGUAGGCGGUUUGGUGAGUCGGGUGUGAAAUCUCCACGCUCAACGUGGAGGGGCCACCCGAUACUGCCAUGACUAGAGUCCGGUAGGGGAGUGUGGAAUUCCCGGUGUAGCUGUGAAAUGCGCAGAUAUCGGGAGGAACACCAGUAGCGAAGGCGACACCCUGGGCCGGUACUGACGCUGAGGAGCGAAAGCGUGGGGAGCAAACAGGAUUAGAUACCCUGGUAGUCCACGCUGUAAACGUUGGGCACUAGGUGUGGGACUCUAUCGACGGGUUCCGUGCCGUAGCUAACGCAUUAAGUGCCCCGCCUGGGGAGUACGG